AUUGAACGCUGGCGGCAUGCUUUACACAUGCAAGUCGAACGGCAGCGCGGGCUUCGGCCUGGCGGCGAGUGGCGAACGGGUGAGUAAUGCAUCGGAACGUGCCCAGUAGUGGGGGAUAGCCCGGCGAAAGCCGGAUUAAUACCGCAUACGACCUGAGGGUGAAAGCGGGGGACCGAAAGGCCUCGCGCUAUUGGAGCGGCCGAUGUCGGAUUAGCUAGUUGGUGGGGUAAAGGCUUACCAAGGCGACGAUCCGUAGCUGGUCUGAGAGGACGACCAGCCACACUGGGACUGAGACACGGCCCAGACGCCUACGGGAGGCAGCAGUGGGGAAUUUUGGACAAUGGGGGCAACCCUGAUCCAGCCAUGCCGCGUGCGGGAAGAAGGCCUUCGGGUUGUAAACCGCUUUUGUUCGGGAAGAAAUUCUCUGGGCUAAUACCCCGGGGGGAUGACGGUACCGGAAGAAUAAGCACCGGCUAACUACGU
rnacentral:rRNA from 1 species